UACGGUAGGGUGCAAGCGUUGUCCGGAAUUAUUGGGCGUAAAGAGCUCGUAGGCGGUCUGUCGCGUCGGCUGUGAAAUCCCGAGGCUCAACCUCGGGUCUGCAGUCGAUACGGGCAAACUAGAGUAUUGCAGGGGAGACUGGAAUUCCUGGUGUAGCGGUGAAAUGCGCAGAUAUCAGGAGGAACACCGGUGGCGAAGGCGGGUCUCUGGGCAAUAACUGACGCUGGAGGAGCGAAAGCCGUGGGGGAGCA
rnacentral:rRNA from 1 species